UCACUCUGGUUUCCCUUCAAAUCACGUAUAAAUCUUUCGCCUUUUACUAAAGAUUUCCGUGGAGGGAAACAACUGAUGAGUCUAUGAAAUCAUUUUUUAUAGUACCCAACUUUUUAAGUUGGGU